AGGAGAGUGCUGGCCCUCCGAGCCCUGCACAAGUUUACUCUCCGAUGGGGUGUGUGUGUGUGUGUGUGUGCACGCCUGUCCCUGUCCUCCAGGCCUGACUGUUCAGGCCGGUGGGCAGGCCCUCCCAACAGGUCUCAGAAAGUGUGCAGAGUGGCCUGUUAAGAGGCUUCGUGUUCCCAGCGCCUCGCACGAUCUCCUACACACAGUAGUCACUUAGUAAAUAUUGGUGGCUUUUAUGAGAUGUGUAUCUGCAAAUCAACUCUCGCGAAGGAUUCUGGAGGAUUUGAAAAUAAGAAAAAGAAUCGAAGUGCACGAAACGAAGCUUCCUAGAUGAUGAUGAUGAUGAUGAUGAUGAUUAUGAGAGGUUCGAGAACACAAGGUGAGAUGUGCUGCUGUGUGGCCAGGGUCAUCGACACCAUCCUGACGAAGGCCAGCCUGUCUGCGGCAGCCAGAGGACAGACAGAAGAGCAGGGGUGGAGCAGAACCCCGUGCAUGGAGCAGGACCCGACCUCUGACCUCCCUCAGUCGGUCUGCAAAACAAGAGGCCAGGACGUCUGCUGUCAAAGGAGCCAAGCAGAAGGCACGAGUGUUUUCUGCCUUCCUAAUGAUGCAGCCAGAGUGCUGGGAGCCGACACAACCCCUUCACCAGCAUGGGGUCUGUGUCUGCCUUUGCUUUGGAACCUUAAACAUUUUUGUUUAUCAAGUAUUGGAUACCUACUAAAACACACUUGCAUACAUAUUUAAAGAUCUAGAUAAUACUGUAGCCCUCAUCAUCACCUUCUCUCUAUCCCCACCUGUUUAAGGAAAAGUUCAGGAGGCCCUUCCAGGCUCCCUGGCCCCUCCGUAAUCCCUGCCCCUCCCUCAUCUUUCCAGUAAACGCUGUCUUGAAUGUUGUGUUUGGCAUGCCUUGCUUUUCCUUAUGGUUUACUUCAGGUCUGUUAUUAAUGAAUAUGUUAUUCAGUUUUGCAUACCUUUACAUUUUAUAUAAUAGAACCACACUAAGUAUUUUUCUGCAACCUGUUUUCCAAAGUGUCAAUAUUAUUUUCCAAAAGUCCAUCCUUGUUGAUGAGUAUAGCUGGGUGUAGGGUCCAGCCCUCAGGGUCCUGUGAGCCCCUCUCUCCAGGUGUGGAGAUGAGAAACUGAAAAUAAAAGACACAAGACACCAAGAAAGAGAAAACAGUUUGGGCCCAGGGGUCCACUGCCAACCAGGGCAUGGAGUCUGGCAGUGGCCCCGAGUGCCUGGACACUCUGACUUUUAUUGAGUACAAAGCAGGGGCAGGGUAGGCAGGGUGAGGUAACGGUGGUCAGUGAUAGGGUCAGGUAAAUCACGUGUCUUGGGGACAGGGGCCCAGGUCUUUGAAGUAGCCAAGCGAGGAGAAAACCUAAUGCGUCAGCACUUUUUCAUACUUGUCAAGAGAGAACAAUGACGCUAAGAUUUAUGUUACUCUUACUGAUUUUAUCUUUUAAGAAAGGGAGGGACCAGGUGCAGAAGUGAAACAUGAAAAUAGACCUGGAACGUGACUGCUGAAGCACAGCCUCACAUAGGGACAGUUAAGCCCCCAGAUGUCUGUGGGCCUCCCUGACAGGCGCCAGGCCAGCUGCAAGAGCUUGGAGGAGUGGAGUUUUCUCCUAACUCCCCCAGGAAGGACAUGUCUCGGCCAUUUUGGACGUCUCCUUCCCUAGCUGGCUAAACAGGGGGCGCUUUCCCAGCACUGGCACUGCCAGCAGCCCUUAUGCGGGCGUGACAGAGGGCUUAGAGCAUCUUGCCUUAGGAUCACUUUGUUCACAAUGUCACCUCAGUUCCAUGCUUCAUAACCCGAUAGUCAUUAGUAAAAUUAAAGGUUAUAUUGAGUAUAUAUAUAUUUCUGUGGUUACAUAUGAAUAACGAUGUGAUUAUUCAGGAUUAUAUAUAGGAAUAACUGUGUAACUAUAUCUCUAAUUCUUUUCUAAUUCCGUAUUCAUAUGGGAACAUAAGGCUUCAGACCCUUGCCUCGGCACUUGCAGGGUCUCCCACAGGAUCUCUCACCCACACUGGGUUCCUUCUUUAUUUUAACCUAAUCUAUGGAAUGAAUAUACCAGCGUUUACCCAUCUGUUCUGCUGCCGUUGGUUAUUGGGGUUGGCUCCAUUUUCUUGCUCCUCCAACCAGUGUAGGUCUGGCCACACUCGCAGAAUUCCUGUGCAGAAGGCAGCAGUUGUUAAACGUUUUGUUCUCAG
rnacentral:lncRNA from 1 species